rnacentral:rRNA from 1 species
UACAGAGGGGGCAAGCGUUGUUCGGAAUUACUGGGCGUAAAGGGCGCGUAGGCGGCCUGUUAAGUCGAACGUGAAAUCCCUGGGCUUAACCUAGGAACUGCAUCUAAGACUGUAUGGCUAGAGUGCAGUAGAGGAUAGUGGAAUUCCAGGUGUAGCGGUGAAAUGCGUAGAUAUCUGGAGGAACACCGGUGGCGAAGGCGGCGUCCUGGACCAACACUGACACUGAUGAGCGAAAGCCAGGGGAGCAAACGGG